AUAUACCACAUUUUGUUUAUUCAUUUGUUAAUUUACAGACAAAUGGCCACAGGGAUGCUGGUUGGUAGGUUACUGCCCUGCCAAGGCAAGAGACGACUGUGGUCUAAACUAGUGUGGGUGAUAAUGUUAAAGAGAAAUAGAGGUAGAAUCAGCAGGGUUUAUUGAUGGAUGGAAUAUGAGGUAGUGAGAAAUCAACAUAGUGCUGGCUUUUGGACUUAAACAACUAAGCAAAGCACAGUGCUAUUAACUCAAACGAGAAGAUUAUUAUUAUUAUUGUUUUAGAUUUCUGGGGUCCUGUUUUUGGUGUGGCCAUUAAGAGGGUGUUAGUCCAAAGAAAUGUUUCCCAUCAAUAAAGAAUGACUACUAAUUCUAUUUUUUUCCUAAUACACCACUCAACCAGUUGUGCAUGUUGCUGUAUUGAAUAGAUUUGAAAUGCUGGCACAAGGCCUACUCAGUGCAUGGGGAGGUCAGGUUGAAAUAGUUGAAAUGGAUGUGACUUACUUCCAGGAUUUUGAUUUACGAGUCAUAGAUCCAGGAAACCUCCAUGUCCCGCAGUUCACUCCAGAUGGCAUUCCCUGAAAGGUGUCUGUCUUGGAUCUUGUUCAUGAAGGGGGAGUUACUAACAAGAGCCAGGAGGCUCUUGUUGCCCAGACUGGAGUGCAAUGGCAUGAUCUUGGCUCACUGCAACCUCUGCCUCCUGGGUUCAAGUGAUUCUCCUGUCUCAGCCUCCUGAGUAGCUGGGAUUAUAGGUGCUGCCACCACGCCUGGCUAAUUUUUCGUAUUUUUAGUAGAAACCGGGUUUCACCAUGUUGGCCAGGCUGGUCUCAAAGAGCUGACCUCAGGUGAUCCACCUGCCUAGGCCUCCCAAAGUGCAGGAAUUACAGGCAUCAGCCACCGUGCCCAGCCCUGUUUAGGUUUUGAAGUGAAUAUUUUGGAGAAAAACACAUGGAGGAAUAAAAUUCAUUUUGAUUAUCACUGCAGUGGUAAAGAGCACAGACUCUGUGAGCAGAUGGCCAUGUUCGAAUCCCAGCUCCUGCACUCAUUAUCCCUGUGACCCUGGGAGAGUUACUUAGCUUCUCCAGGACCCCCCACUUCCUCACACAUCAAAAUAUAUAUAACAACAGAUUUGCAAUGAGUAUUGUAGGGGUGCUGGCACCCCACUCAACCCCCCUUGGCAUGCCUUCUCCCUGUGAACACUUAUGUCUUCUUACCCCAGGCUCCCUACCUGUCUUUGCAGGGACUUCCUGGCCACCAAGUCAUAUUCAACACAUGAGUGAGGCAGACCGGAGUGCU
rnacentral:lncRNA from 10 species